GUGACUGUUAUUGUUUCAGGGGACAAAGUGUGGAAUGGAUGCAAACAAUAAUCGUCUGGAGUCAGGUGCUACCUCUGGAGAUGUUACCCAGUGCACCCAACAUUCACAACAGAAAUCUGCUUCCCACAUCGAGGUGACAGAAAGUGGAAUAGAGGUGGACAGUAAUCGUUUGGAGUCAGAUGGUGCCUCUGGAGAUGAUAAUCAUUGCACCCAACAUUCACCGGAUGAGUCUACAUUCUGCAAUCUGGUGCCAGAUGAAACAUUUGCUGAUGACCAGUAUUGUAUACCGCAGUCACAAGAGGAGACAAGCACUCCUCAGAUAUUGAACCAGAACUGAAACCAUCGACAGAGCAAGCCCAGAAAACCUCAUCUGAGCAAGCAACAGAAUCAACCAGUACCACAUCUGUUCCCAAAGGUGUUAAGGUGGUAAAGAAAUGGGAGACCAGUGAAGUGAAAGCAUUUGAAAAACAUCUGUACAGGUUCAUAAAAACUUGCACAGUGCCAGGAAAAAAACAUGGUGAGGCCUGUAUUAAAGCUGAGCCUGUUGCACUGAAAGGCAGGGAUCAGUUGUCUGUUAAGUUCUUUGUAAAAAAAAAAUAGAAUCACUGCCCUUAAAAGGAAAAUGUAACCCAGAAAAAGUCUGCAUGGUUUCAUUUGGUUUUAUUUGCACAGAUCAUUGGUAGUUUUAGUUUAUUAUUAUUAUUAAGUUUAUGGCUUGAAUUUUGUAUUGUACAAUUUAAUUUUUUCUACUUUUUUUACUUCAUUUAUGAGAAACUUUUUUUGAGUGUUAAUUAGUAACUGCCUGAAAAUACUAUCUUUGUGAAAAUACUGCAUUGCAAAUGGCAAAAUGUUUCAGAUUAAAAUAAAAGACAUGUUAUUCAUGUGACUUAAUCAAUUAUCUUGGAAAUAUGCAUUAUAGCACCUUCCCAAUUGUUUGUAAAUUGCGUCCCCAGAUUGUUCACAAGUACCUACAAUUUAGAAAUACCAGAAUAAUAGUGUGUGUGUGUGUGUGUGUGUGUCCGCUCGUCCUCAAAAGUUUGGUCUACCAGAAAUUGUCCCCAGGAUGUGGAAAAAUGUCACAUUGCUUUAUUGACGUUUUUUCAUUAAUUUGAAGUGACGGACGUCUUUACAGCUUCAACAGAAACACGAAUCUGUCUUUGGUUUGUUCCUAAACCUUUUAGAAAUACGGGUCCCCGC